GCGGUUAGACGCUCGUAGUCGAAUGUUUGUUCAAGCCUAACGGUCCUCCCUAGUGGUGCGUACUCAGUUCGGUCUGGGCACCUCUCUGGUACAAGCGUUUGCAGUUAAUUCUGUUGCGCAUUGUCCAGAACUUUUACUUUGAGGAAAUGAGAGUGCUUCAAGCAAAUGUAUGUUAUGAAUACGUUAGCAUGGAAUAAUCGCAUGGGACAUCAUCCUGAAUCUGUUGGUUUUCGGGUAGAUGUAAUGAAGGUGGGGAUAGUUGGGGGCAUUCGUAUUUAACUGUUAGAGGUGAAAUUCUUGGAUUUUUUAAAGAUGGACUACUGCGAAAGCAUCUGCCAAAGAUGUUUUUGUCGAUCAAGAACGAAAGUUAGGGGAUCGAAGACGAUCAGAUACCGUCCUAGUCUUAACCAUAAACUAUGCCCACUAGGGAUUGGGGUCAUCAGACUCUUGAUGUCUUCAGCAUCUUCAGAGAAAUCAAAGUCUUUGGGUUCCGGGGGGAGUAUGGUCACAAGGCUGAAACUUAAAGGAAUUGACGGAAGGGCACCACCAGGAGUGGAGCCUGCGGCUUAAUUUGACUCAACACGGGAUAACUCACCAGGUCCAGACUUAGAAAGGAUUGACAGACUGAUAGCUCUUUCUUGAUUCUAUGGGUGGUGGUGCAUGGCCGUUCUUAGUUGGUGGAGUGAUUUGUCUGGUUAAUUUCGUUAACGAACGAGACCUUAUCCUGCUAAGUAGUACCAAAAACAACGCAGUUUGAAAGUGAUCUUCUUAGAGGGACUUUGUGUGUUUAGCACGAGGAAGUGUGAGGCAAUAACAGGUCUGUGAUGCCCUUAGAUG
rnacentral:rRNA from 1 species